UGGGGAAUAUUGCACAAUGGGCGAAAGCCUGAUGCAGCAACGCCGCGUGAGUGAUGAAGGUCUUCGGAUUGUAAAGCUCUGUCUUUUGGGACGAUAAUGACGGUACCAAAGGAGGAAGCCACGGCUAACUACGUGCCAGCAGCCGCGGUAAUACGUAGGUGGCGAGCGUUGUCCGGAUUUACUGGGCGUAAAGGGUGCGUAGGCGGAUGUUUAAGUGAGAUGUGAAAUACCCGGGCUUAACUUGGGUGCUGCAUUUCAAACUGGAUAUCUAGAGUGCAGGAGAGGAGAAUGGAAUUCCUAGUGUAGCGGUGAAAUGCGUAGAGAUUAGGAAGAACACCAGUGGCGAAGGCGAUUCUCUGGACUGUAACUGACGCUGAGGCACGAAAGCGUGGGUAGCAAACAGGAUUAGAUACCCUGGUAGUCCACGCCGUAAACGAUGAGUACUAGGUGUAGGAGGUAUCGACCCCUUCUNUGCCGCAGUA
rnacentral:rRNA from 1 species